UAAUACGGAGGGUGCGAGCGUUAAUCGGAAUUACUGGGCGUAAAGCGCAUGCAGGCGGUCUGUUAAGCAAGAUGUGAAAGCCCGGGGCUCAACCUCGGAACAGCAUUUUGAACUGGCAGACUAGAGUCUUGUAGAGGGGGGUAGAAUUUCAGGUGUAGCGGUGAAAUGCGUAGAGAUCUGAAGGAAUACCGGUGGCGAAGGCGGCCCCCUGGACAAAGACUGACGCUCAGAUGCGAAAGCGUGGGGAGCAAACAGGAUUAGAUACCCUGGUAGUCCACGCCGUAAACGAUGUCUACUUGAAGGUUGUGGCCUUGAGCCGUGGCUUUCGGAGCUAACGCGUUAAGUAGACCGCCUGGGGAGUACGGUCGCAUGAUUA
rnacentral:rRNA from 1 species